GACGAACGCUGGCGGCGUGCUUAACACAUGCAAGUCGAACGAUGAGCUCCCGUUCGCGGGGGUGAUUAGUGGCGAACGGGUGAGUAAUACGUGAGUAACCUGCACUUGACUCUGGGAUAAGCCUGGGAAACCGGGUCUAAUACUGGAUACUACUUGCUGCCGCCCGGUGGGGGGUGGAAAGGGUUUUACUGGUUUUGGGUGGGCUCGCGGUCUUCCAGCUUGUUGGUGGUGGAAUGGAUCACCAAGGCGACGACGGGUAGCCGGCCUGAGAGGGUGACCGGCCAGCCUGACAGGGAGAGAGAGACCGGCCACCCUCGGACGGCAGGCAGGAGGGAGAUUGCACACGGGACGGGCGCCAGAUGCAGGGAGGCCUGGCGAGUGAAGACAGCAUUCGGGUGGGAAACCACUUUCAGCAGGGAAGGAGCAACAAGUGACGGUACCUGCAGAAGAAGCGCCGGCUAACUACGUG
rnacentral:rRNA from 1 species